rnacentral:rRNA from 1 species
UACGAAGGGGGCUAGCGUUGCUCGGAAUCACUGGGCGUAAAGCGCACGUAGGCGGAUCUUUAAGUCAGGGGUGAAAUCCUGGAGCUCAACUCCAGAACUGCCUUUGAUACUGGGGAUCUCGAGUCCGGAAGAGGUGAGUGGAAUUCCUAGUGUAGAGGUGAAAUUCGUAGAUAUUAGGAAGAACACCAGUGGCGAAGGCGGCUCACUGGUCCGGUACUGACGCUGAGGUGCGAAAGCGUGGGGAGCAAACAGG